UACGUAGGUGGCAAGCGUUGUCCGGAUUUACUGGGCGUAAAGAGCGCGCAGGCGGUCGUUCAAGUCGCGUGUGAAAGCCCCCGGCUCAACUGGGGAGGGUCACGCGAUACUGAUCGACUGGAAGGCAGGAGAGGGUAGUGGAAUUCCCGGUGUAGUGGUGAAAUGCGUAGAUAUCGGCAGGAACACCCAGGGGGAAACCAGCCGGCUGGGGACGUGCUGACGCUCAGGGGCGAAAGCGUGGGGAGCGAACCGG
rnacentral:rRNA from 1 species